rnacentral:rRNA from 1 species
UACGUAGGUGGCAAGCGUUGUCCGGAAUUAUUGGGCGUAAAGCGCGCGCAGGCGGUCCUUUAAGUCUGAUGUGAAAGCCCUCGGCUCAACCGAGGAGGGUCAUUGGAAACUGGAGGACUUGAGUGCAGAAGAAGAAAGUGGAAUUCCAAGUGUAGCGGUGAAAUGCGUAGAAGAUUUGGAGGAACACCAGUGGCGAAGGCGACUUUCUGGUCGUGUAACUGACGCUGAGGCGCGAAAGCGUGGGGAGCAAAACAGG